AAUUAUAUAAGCUAUUAAGCUUUUGGAUUCAUAAUUCAAUGAUAGAGUAUGUGAUUA
rnacentral:tRNA from 1 species